AACGAACGCUGGCGGCAUGCCUAACACAUGCAAGUCGAACGGAUGUAGCAAUACAUUAGUGGCGCACGGGAUAGUAACGCGUGGGAAUCUGCCUCAUAGUUCGGAAUAACACCGGGAAACUGGUGCUAAUACCGGAUACGCCCUUCGGGGGAAAGUUUUUCGCUAUGAGAGGAGCCCGCGUUGGAUUAGCUAGUUGGUGAGGUAAUGGCUCACCAAGGCGACGAUCCAUAGCUGGUCUGAGAGGACGAUCAGCAUCACUGGGACUGAGACACGGCCCGGACUCCUACGGGAGGCAGCAGUGGGGAAUAUUGGACAAUGGGGGAAACCCUGAUCCAGCAAUGCCGCGUGGGUGAUGAAGGUCUUCGGAUUGUAAAGCCCUUUUGGCAGGGACGAUGAUGACGGUACCUGCAGAAUAAGCUCCGGCUAACUUCGUGCCAGCCGCCGCCGUAA
rnacentral:rRNA from 1 species